rnacentral:ncRNA from 1 species
AAUAGGCUUGGUCCUGGCCUUUCUAUUAGCUCUUAGCAGGAUUACACAUGCAAGCAUCCCCGCUCCAGUGAAGACGCCCUAUAAAUCAUCAUGACCAAGAGGAGCAAGCAUCAAGCACGCACACGCAGCUCAAAACGCUUUGCCUAGCCACACCCCCACGGGAGACAGCAGUGACAAGUAUUUAGCAAUAAACGAAAGUUCAACUAAGCCAUGCUAUAUUUAGGGUUGGUCAAUUUCGUGCCAGCCACCGCGGUUACACGAUUAACCCCAGCUAAUAGGGAUCGGCGUAGAGGGUGUUUAAGAUCUAACAUAAUAAAGCUAAACUCCACCUAAACUGUAAAACCCUAGCUAAUGUAAAAUAAACUACGAAAGUGGCUUUAAAGCUUCUGAACACACAAUAGCCAAGACCCAAACUGGGAUUAGACACCCCACUAUGCUUGGCCCUAAACCUCAGUAGUUAGAUAACAAAACUACUCGCCAGAAUACUACAAGCAACAGCUUAAAACUCAAAGGACUUGACGGUGCUUUACAUCCCCCUAGAGGAGCCUGUUCCGUAAUCGAUAAACCCCGAUCCACCCUACCCUCUCUUGCUCAGCCUAUAUACCGCCAUCUUCAGCAAACCCUAAUGAGGGCCACAAAGUGAGCGCAAACGCCGUCGCCGCGAAUACGUUAGGUCAAGGUGUAGCCCAUGAGACGGUAAAAAAUGGGCUACAUUUUCUAUUUCAGAAAACCCACGAAAACCCUUAUGAAACUUAGGGGUCCAAGGAGGAUUUAGCAGUAAAUUAAGAAUAGAGUGCUUAAUUGAACCAGGCCAUAAAGCGCGCACACACCGCCCGUCACUCCUCUCAAAUAUAUUUAAGGAAUAUCCUAACUAAACGCCCUAAUAUUUAUAUAGAGAGGAUAAGUCGUAACAUGGUAAGCGUACUGGAAGGUGCGCUUGGAUAA